GUAGGGAAUCUUCCACAAUGGACGAAAGUCUGAUGGAGCAACGCCGCGUGAGUGAAGAAGGUCUUCGGAUCGUAAAACUCUGUUGUUAGAGAAGAACGUGCAUGAUAGUAACUGAUCAUGUAAUGACGGUAUCUAACCAGAAAGCCACGGCUAACUACGUGCCAGCAGCCGCGGUAAUACGUAGGUGGCAAGCGUUGUCCGGAUUUAUUGGGCGUAAAGGGAACGCAGGCGGUUUUUUAAGUCUGAUGUGAAAGCCUUCGGCUUAACCGAAGAAUAGCAUUGGAAACUGGAAGACUUGAGUGCAGAAGAGGAGGGUGGAAUUCCAUGUGUAGCGGUGAAAUGCGUAGAUAUAUGGAGGAACACCAGUGGCGAAAGCGGCUCUCUGGUCUGUAACUGACGCUGAGGUUCGAAAGCGUGGGUAGCAAACAGGAUUAGAAACCCCUGUAGUCC
rnacentral:rRNA from 1 species